GGGGAGAAAAGUGCUCCAUAGACCCUUUGUAUUUCCGGUGCGAGUGUAAAGCAUUCAAAGGGAAAUCGAGUCUGCAUUGGCCGUGUUAACGUGUACAUGUGCUAGAGUGGUGAUGAGCUCAUGAAAGGCUACUACCGUUGUCUAUGUUAGCUGGUUAUUGUGAAUGUGGGGAAAAAGAGGCACACUCAUUUUGUUGUGAGAUCAAACUUUAUUGUUCUCAAUGGCCGUAUUUAAGUUGUAAUCUUUCUGUCCCGAUCCCCCAAAAUUUGCAUACUUAAUGCUGCGCUGUUCCAAGUGCAGUCUGGAAUAAA